ensembl:snRNA U2 U2 spliceosomal RNA
AUUGCUUCUCAGCCUUAUGGCUAAAAUCAAGUGUAGUAUCUGUUCUUAUCAGUCUAAAAUGAGGGUGUAUUAAUGAUUCAAUAAAUACAGAAAUACUGCUACACUGGCUAGGUGUCCAAACCUUU